CCCCAGACUCCUACGGGAGGCAGCAGUGGGGAAUAUUGCACAAUGGGCGCAAGCCUGAUGCAGCAACGCCGCGUGAGCGAAGAAGGUCUUCGGAUCGUAAAGCUCUGUCCUUGAGGAAGAAGGAAGUGACGGUACUCAAGGAGGAAGCCCCGGCUAAAUACGUGCCAGCAGCCGCGGUAAUACGUAUGGUGCAAGCGUUAUCCGGAAUGACUGGGUGUAAAGGGAGCGUAGACGGUUGUACAAGUCUGAUGUGAAAGCCCACGGCUCAACUGUGGGAGUGCAUUGGAAACUGUAGAACUAGAGUAUCGGAGAGGCAAGUGGAAUUCCUAGUGUAGCGGUGAAAUGCGUAGAUAUUAGGAGGAACACCAGUGGCGAAGGCGGCUUGCUGGACGAAAACUGACGUUGAGGCUCGAAAGCGUGGGGAGCAAACAGGAUUAGAUACCCUGGUAC
rnacentral:rRNA from 1 species